UGGAGACGAGGAGCCCCUUUGCAGGCUCUACCAGCCAAGAAUGGCUUGCCUAUGCCCACGUUCUGUUUCAUCACCACUGGGCUUAAUCUUGGAGCCCUGGUGAUGGAUGAGAUGUGAUUGUAUGGUCAAGCCAUCUUGGCUAGAAGAGAGAUCCUCGUCCCCCAUGCUAGGCUGC